rnacentral:rRNA from 1 species
GCACCCCAGUAGGCGGGGUUCCCCUUAAUUUUAAGCUUUUAAAUAA